AUAUAAACAAUUAUCUCUUAUACAAUUACAACAGUUGUCAAUAUCCAUACUGAAAAUAAAUAUAGUUUAACAAAGUCAAUUAAGUUAUCAAACAAAUUAUUGAUUGAUAAGGUUUACAGUUACAAAGAUACUGUUGUAUUAUCUAUACUAUGUUGCCUUUUAAUCGUGCAUCGACCUUAAGUAUCGAAAAAAAGAGAUAAAUCCUGGAGAUUUAAUCAUCUAUUCAUUUCCAUUAAAAGGGUUUAACUCCUCGAGCUUUAAUCGGCACAGAUGUGAUCGUAAUU